rnacentral:rRNA from 1 species
GCUAGCGUUGUUCGGAAUUACUGGGCGUAAAGCGCGUGUAGGCGGUCCUGCAAGUCGGGGGUGAAAGCCCGAGGCUCAACCUCGGAACUGCCUUCGAUACUGCGGGUCUCGAGUCCGGGAGAGGUGAGUGGAAUUCCUAGUGUAGAGGUGAAAUUCGUAGAUAUUAGGAAGAACACCAGUGGCGAAGGCGGCUCACUGGCCCGGUACUGACGCUGAGGUGCGAAAGCGUGGGGAGCAAACAGG